rnacentral:tRNA from 1 species
GCACCUGGAUAGCUCAGUUGGUUAGAGUGUGGUGCUGACAAUGCCAAGGUUGCAGGUUCAAUCCCCGGAUGAGACAGAUGCA